CCAUCGUUUAACGGCCGCGACUAAGUGCUAAGGUAGCAUAAUAAUUUGUCUUUUUAUUGGAGACUAGAAUGAAAGAAGAUAACGAGGCUUAACUGUCUCCAAGCAACCUAUUAAAAUUGAUUUAAGAGUGAAAAAUCUCGUAUACUAGUGAAGGACGAAAAGACCCUGUAGAGUUUGUAGUGAAAUUAAUAAAUUAAUUAAUUCACUUUUAUUGGGGCAAUAAAAGAUCAAAUUUAAACUCUUUUAAAAGGUUUUUGACAUAUCAAAAAAAAGAUCCUCAAAGAGAAAAAAAGAAAAACUACCUCAGGGAUAACAGCGUAAUUCUUCCAGAGAGAUCUAAUUGAAGGAAUGAGUUUGCGACCUCGAUGUUGGACUAAGGUAACUUUUAAAUGCAGAAGUUUAUUAAAGUAAGCCUGUUCGGCUUUUAAAACCUUACAUGAUU
rnacentral:rRNA from 1 species